rnacentral:lncRNA from 1 species
ACUUCAGUGGGCAUUCACACCACCCCCCACACCACCGGCUCCACUUUCCCCUUUCAUUAAUCUAUUCACCCAGAUAAUCAUUAAAAUUAACAUGGGCCAGGUCUUAGGAUGUGUCUUGGGGUGGGCACAGUACCCGGUGACUCUUGGGGAUAUUUAUUUAUUUUCCCUGAGCCUAUAUCUUCAUCUGUGAAAUGGGGAUAAAAAUACUUGUUGCUGUCACAAUUAUUACCAUCUCUCCAGCUAGCAAAAUUACUACCAGAGCCGUUACUACACACAAAGGCUAUUGACCGAGCACAUACCAUGUGCCACACACCUUGACAAAAUCUUUUAAUACAGUUUAUUAUGUACUAUUCAAUCUUUACACAAUGUCACGGGACCAGUAUUGUUUACCCAAUUUUUUAUAAGGACACUGAAGCUUAGAGGAGUGAAAUGUUUUGAGUGUUAUUUCAGAGAGCAAAUGGCAAAGACUGGAUCCAAACCCAUCUUCCUGGACCUGAAGUUCAUGCUCCCAGCCACCCCACCCCUGAGCUGAAUAAAGAUGAUUUAAGCAUAAUAAAUCGUUAGUGUGUUCACAUGAGUUUCCAUAGCUUUGGUUCCAAGAAACAUCACAUUUCUGUUUUUGUAAAUGAAAUGAACUCUGGCUCUGAG